UUAAAUAAAUAAGGUCCAACUGAAAUAAUCGUUCAACCCAUUCUACUCUAUUAAAAUCGGCCCAAAUGAAACAAUAACCGGCCCAACAAUAUACAUAUGGAAUUUGGAAAUAGAAGUCUAUUAAUAAUAAUAUCUCAGCCCAAUUCUUAUAGAAUAAUUAAAGCCCAUCCUUUUAAAAUAAUUCGGCCCAAAAACAAUUACUAUAGGAGCCCAAAAUUAAACAAAACAGGAGCCCAAUUCAUACAAAAAUGCAGUUGGGUUUUAAAUAAAAGAAUCGGCCCAGAGAGUUAUAUAAUUCGGCCCAAAGUAAAAUAAAUCAAAGCCCAAUUUUCGGCCCAAUUACAAUUAAAAGGGAAAAGCCCAAAUUAAAUAAAUAACAAAGGCCCAUUAAACUAAAGCCCAAGAGCCCAACUCUCAUCUCCCUCAAAAUCGAUCUCUCUCCCUAUAGUCUCAAAAUCGGCUCCCUCUCUCUUUUCUCUCUCUCGUUCUCAGCCUCCAGCCGGCUCCGGCGCCUUCUCGUCGCCGGCGCGAGCCCCUGCUCUCCCAAAUCGGAAAUCACCGCCGCCUCCCUGAACUUUCGAUGAGCGGCGGUCGUUUCUUCUCCCAAAUCGGCUCAACAGUCAACACAACUCUCUUUUUUCUUUCCUCAAAAUCGGAACAUCUCUCUCUCUCGAUCUGUUUUCGGCGAGGGGUCCAGCGCCGCCGCCGCUGAUCACCACGCUGAGCCUCCGUUUGUCUGGACGUCCGCCGCCUCCGCAGCUCCGCCGCGAACGGCCCCGGCGAGGUUGAUGCCUCUAUUCCCCUAUCUCGAUCUUCCUCACGCACAGAUUCGCGGUCGACCUUAGUUUCCUCUCUAUUGAGUGAAACCGUCUCCGCCGCUGCUCUGAAAUUCCGGCGACGCCGCCGCCUUCAACGGCUCUGCCCUCUUUCCUCUAGUAACAUCAAGUGGAACUCAAAUCAGGGCCAAAAUCUCCUCGCUUUCUCGGUCUCAACGAAGACACACAAUUGGGGAGGAAAGUCGAGCCCCGGUUUCUCCGUCCGAAUCGCGGGUCUCCGCCCUUGUUCGACGCCGUCGCGUCCGCCUUGGCCAGAGAUCGCCGCGCCGCUGAAAUCUGUCCUCUGCUCAAGAACCGGGCUCAACCUCAUUCUGUCCCUUCUUCUUGGUUCAGGCAAGUCGCCUCUGUAACUUUGGUCAAAGUUGACGCCGCCCUUCGCCCAAAGGUCUCCGCAAAUUCCCGUCGUCACCGGGUUCUUUCCCGAUCUCGUCUGGCGAGCAGCAGAGCUCUGCCACUGUGGCCGGGGUCUCCUUCGCCGUACUGUGUUGUCGUCGGAGCUCCUUUGUCUCAACGAACAGGCAGUCAGCCUCCGACUGAUUCCGAAGUUCUCAUCGACGAAGGAGGAAUCAAGAACAGGAUGGUGAAAACUUAAGACCGGCUUACCUCUUCGAAGUUCCGGUAGAAGCUUUGCAAGCUCUAUCUCUUUCCCUCAAUUUUCUGGUGUCUAAGGGAGAAACAAAGGGUUGUUGGCUGAUAUAGAUGGGUGGAGGCGUAAAGUGGCUGCCUUGCGUGAAUUGGGGGCUGCAGAGGGGAAUGUUGCUGCUGUAGCAGCCCUUUUGCACACACGUUUUUUUUUCUUCCUACUCUCUCUUUUCCUUCUUUUCUUUUGAUAAAGUAGCUUUUCCUUUUUUUCUUAAAGUAGCAAAAGAUUGUAAAAGGUGAUAGGUUGCAAAGUGAUGUGAUUGAAUGAAAUAAAUCUUCUCUGUUGGUAAA